rnacentral:lncRNA from 8 species
AUGGAAUCAUUUACUAAAUCAUGUAAAUUGAAUCAUUGUGGUCUCACUGUGAACUGUGUCUGUUGUGGUCCUAUAGAGCUGUAUGGACCCUCACUCCUCAUCACACAAACCAACAACAGUCACACCACUCUGUCCUGUUCUGCUACUGGACAACCUACUCCUAUAGUAACCUGGGACAACACAGAAAUUCUAGAAAAUUCCACAAUGGUCAAUGUCACCCAUCUCAAUGGUACUGUCACAGUCAUCAUAACUUUCACGCUGGCAGCAUUCAGUCUACCUGACAAAGACACCAGGGUUGUCUGUGUGGUGUCACUGUUCUCUGGAGGUGUCACCAAGAACGUAUCCAUGGUUAUUCCAGCUAGAACUCAAGCUUCAUUUCCUGGUGUACCUGAGGUCACUGAUGGUGACAGGAUCAGUGUUAAGCCAACAGUAAUUGUUUCAGUGAUGGGUUCACUGUGUUUCAUUGCUGUGUGCUGUGGAGCUGUGGUACUGUGGUGCAAACUGAGAAAUACAAUGAGAAGAAACUGCUGAGCAUGGUGUUGGUUGAACCGGAGUGGUACUACAAGUCUGAGGCAGAGUUACUGCACAAUGUCUUCUCUGGAGCUCAGCUUACCUACUUAUCUGUAUGUAAAUAUACAUCUGUCUGUCUGUCUGUCAGGCUCUCUGUUUCUGUCUCUCUGUCUGUACUUUUAGUUUCAAGUUAAGCUUCUACAAGUUGAGCAUAGGCUUUGACAUCAAGCUGGUUUUAUAGAAAAUAGACAAACUCAAGAUAACAUCUGAAGAACCCUCCAUAUCAUGACAAUGUAGCCAAUGAAAAUACAGUGACAUUGAAGCGCCUCCACAUGGAAGAAAAAUUUGACUCUGAAACUGGAACUUCCCCUAUAGAAAGAAUUUGACUUCAACAACAAAUCAAGGAGGAUGAUUCAAACACUUUAUUCAUAGAAAAUACAAGGUUGUUAUCCUAUUCACUUUAUCAAGUUACUUUGUGUUUUUUUGCUGUUUACACAUUAGGGAAAAUAACAGAUAGGUAUCAUAUAUGCAAAUAACUGUCAAAAAAUCUGAAUUGGGCUGCCUGUGUAAAUGCCGCCUUAUUGCAGCUUAUUACCUAUCUGUUAUUUUCCCUAAUGUGUAAACAGCAAAAAAACACAUUGAAUCUGAUUUUUUGAAUCCUGAUACAAACCCCAUCCUCCAUAUACGACCUCUGUCUGAAUGCUCAGAUUUUUUUGUUGUUGGCACGUGACGUUACCAUGACCACCACCCCAAAAUGUAAAGGAGCAGUGACAGGAAAUGAGAAUUGCAUUUCUGUGUGACUUCUGAGUGUGAAUGCCGAAAUCUGAUAUGGGUCUGAAAAAAAGAUUGGAUAUAGAAAGGAAAUCAGAUUUGGGGUCUUAGGCUGAAUGUGUAAACACAGUUAUAUAACUUCAGAGGAAGCACUCUGCUGCAUCUCAGCUGUGAUAUUUGUAACUUCUGACUGUUCUACAACACACCAUACCUCUAGUCAUCUGCUUAUCAGAACCUUGAAUAGUCCAAUCAGAUGUGGUAGAACUGUGCUGGAGAAAAAAGCCUGCACAACCAUUUUGGCCACCCCUGAUUUAUAUGUACAAAAGUUCCUAUGUCUGAUGAUUUUGCAGUAAAUUAUGUAUUUUUUGAUAACUCACUUUUGCUGACAGGUACAGUAUUUUAGUACUAGGGGUGUCUUCAGUAAACUUUAAAGUAACUUACAAAGUUUAUGUUGAAGAUUGUUGUAUUUUCCAGGAGCUUGCUCGAUUGUCUUGUUAAAAGAGAUCAGGGAAUAAUUUUCCAGUUUAUCCCAUAUUGGCUUAAAUGGGUUUCUGGUUUUUCGCUUCCCUCUGGAAAAUCAGCUCUUAGUAUUUCACAGUAAUAUUGAAUAAAUACUAAUAACUACCUUAUUUCUAUUGCCUUUUGUCAUUAUUGUGUACUUUUACCUCAGAUAGACGACACACCUUAUUAACAGCUUUUUGCGUGUGGAAAUGUUGAGUAAUGUAAAUCAGCUUUUGAUGUAAAACCAUGGAAAUUAAACACAAAAACUAUCAAGGCACAAGGUG